UUCCAGGGUUUGUCCAAUCAGCUCCUCGCGCGCCGCGCGUGCGACGUGCAGUCUGUGGCUUGGUCGUGGGCGUGAACCCUAGCAUCCACAGCCGCCACACCCCCUCCUCCCCGCCUCGUCUCCUCCCGGCUCCCCCAUCUCUUCUCCCACACCGUCACCUCCCCUCUCCCCACUUGCCUUAGCCACCUCCUAUGCUCCCCCGCACCGCCGGCUCCCUCCCUCGUUAUCUUAGCUAACCCCAUGGCGGCGGCCGGGUCGGGUUGGAGGCAAAAGGCCAUGGGGAAUCUGGUGUCUUUGGGCGCAACAGAGGUUGAUGGAGCUGGCGAUUCGGGCAUGCUCCCGCCCUUAGGCGCUCCACGACGGCGGCCAGUUCGGAGGGAGAAGGCAGAGAGCGAUGGUGAGUCCUGCACCUCUGGGUGGAAGCAGCAGGGUUGGUCGAGCAGUGAAUGUGGUCGGGGUCAGCAGUUGAAGGAGGCUCGCCAGCCGGAGCAGCAGGAGGUGAUUCAGGAGCGCCUCGAGGAGUGGAAGGGGGAGGUCGUGCAGGACAUGCCAACAAGAGCAUUAUAGCAAGGAGGAUAGAAUAUUCGAUCAGCCAUAUAUCUUCUUCUCGAUGCAGCCCCGCAUGAGGAGUCAUUCUAGGCAUCCUGGGGUGAUUCAAGAUGCUCAGGUGUAUCACACUGCAUUCUACACAGACCAGCUCAUGGUGUGAGAAGCAUCUCAUAUGGUUCACCGAAUCAAUUGAUGAAUCUGAAGCGAUUCAAGAGGAGGAGAAAAAAUUGUUUAUGCCUAUAGGUUGUCCGAACUACACCUUUAGUUCUAACUACCUUGUUUGUUCUCCUUCUGUGUGAUAUCACUUUGUUCUGUAUAGUUGUCACUGGGACCUAUAUAUUACUUCUUGCAUGAAUCAUGGAUGUAUGAAGACAUCAUGUCAGAUAUAAUAUAAAGCAAAAUGCAUAUGAAUACUUUCGAUGCAGCCCCGCAUGAGGAGUCAUUCUAGGUAACUUCUUGCAUCUCGGGGAAACAUUGCCAAAUACUUACUGAAGAAAGUGUUCGCUUUCUUGUUCCCAUUGCUCGAUAAGCAUGCUCAUGUUUCUCUCUCUCCAUUUGGAAGCCACUGAUUCAACCAUUUAGUACUUGUUGUUCUGUCGCCGAGUGUUCCCUUAAUGCAUGGCACUUUAGGCAUCCCGGGGUGAUUCAAGAUGCUCAGGUGUAUCACACUGCAUGCUACACAGACCAGCUCAUGGUGUGAGAAGCAUCUCAUAUGGUUCACCGAAUCAAUUGAUGAAUCUGAAGCGAUUCAAGAGGAGGAGCAAAAAUUGUUUAUGCCUAUAGGUUGUCCGAACUACACCUUUAGUUCUAACUACCUUGUUUGUUCUCCUUCUGGAAUUUUAUGUUGCCUUGCAUUCUGCUCAUUUGGCGCAUUUGUUCAUCACAAAGUGGAGGGGAGAGGUCUGGCUGCUACCAAUGGGAAAUGGGUGCCUCUCCAGUCAACCGAGAGACGACAAAUCCAACUGGAAAGGGCUCUGGUGAUCUUCAUGUUAUGAGUAAUUGUUCGUGAUUUUCCUUGCUAACAGUUGUUAUCUUUCAAGCCUACAAGUUUAGCCCUGUAUGCAAUACAACAUUUAAGCAAAUAAUUUGUGCUUUAUCUUUUGAAACGCAUGUGCAGCAUGUUUUUUCUCUUUUAUCCAAGCUACUAUGCAAAAUUGUAUUGUUUUACGGCCAUUUGGUUCAUAGGAGUGAGCUUUGUAGGACUGGGAUAUUACAUGCAUGUGCAGUAUUACAGAUACACAGUUAGCUGUCGAAUGGUUCUUAUUUGUAGUUGUCUUAAAUAUUACUUCAACACACGGUGUUCUCUUCUUGAUUCCUACUGGAAAGGAAGCUAGGCGUCGGCGCACGGCAAUGAUUCGGGUGCCUGCGGCAUGACGGCGUUGCAGAAGCAUGCUUCAUUCUUCGACGGCAAACAAGGACGCAUUUAUUUUCCGUUCAAUUUCUUUUUGUUCCCUACGCUUUUUCUCAGAGAGAUUUCUCUAAGUGAUUCUUUGUUUGAUGUUCGUUGAUUCUAUCUCACGUACAAUUUACCCUCCUUGCAUAUCAGCGUUUCGGGCGCUCGGAUUUGGAUUUGCAGCCUCCACCAUGAGUGCCACCUUCAUCAAUGGCGUCCUUGGCCCCCAGACAAAAUAGUGAUCAGAUGUGAGAUCUGGAACAUUGAAGAGCAACAAUGGACAGAAGUAUUAGAUGAUUUUCGGAAGACAUGGUUGCCUAUGGAGUAUUUUCACGAUUAGGUUUCCAUCACUUGGCUCCUGAAGGCAUGAUGCCUCAUUUUGAUUCUCUUAUCUCGGUGUGUUUGUAUUCAGAAAAUUAAGGCAUGAUGCCUCAUUUUGAUUAUCUUAUCUCGGUGUGUUUUAUUCAGAAAAUAGAUUUACUUAUUUUUGCUUUUUUAGGGCUAUAACAAGAGAAAACUCCAUUGUUGAAAAUCUUUUAAAGAGAUCAAGGAUAAAAAAAUCCAAGUAAACUGUGCUUUACUGCCGUAUUUUUAAUGCACACCUUCUUAAUCUGUGUUGGGACGAUGUUGCUUUUUUUCCAGAAAAUGUUUAUUAGAUGGAAAAUACUCAGCAUUUAAAGUUUUUCCCCAAUUGUUUUUGUGCAUGCAAAUAUGAUCUGAUUUCCUUGCAGCCAAGCCAAUGGACAUGUGCAGAGGGCCGCAAUGAGGCAGACGGCAGCGGGUGGCAGCAAUAGGGGUUGGCGGAUGCUCCGAGACCAUGAAGAGCCUGUUCAAUGGUGUAUUCCCUCCAUGUUCCUUUUUUGGGGGUUCCGUUUCCAGAUUGGCGUGAUGCAAUUCUGAGUUGUUGUGCGUGUGUGUGUUGUGUGAUGCAGAUGAGAAGGAUGACAUAGCGAAGGAGGAUUGCGACAUGGUAGUUCCCACAAUCGCGCAGUUGGAGAGCAUGCACGAGUUCGGUAAACUAUGUAUUCUAUUGGUAUAGCUCUGAAAGGUUAGGAUGCUUUGGGUCACAGCCUGAACUAUGUAUCUCUGGAUAUUAUUACACUUUCUGCAUGCUAUUUCCUAUUUUUUAGACAUCAAUUUCUGUGAAUUGUGGUUGAACUAUGAUACUUUAGGUGGCAUGCUCAACUAUGUGUAGUGUCAUUACCGCUUUCUCCCCUGAUUGUAUUGUCCUUGCCAUGUUAUCCCCUAAAUGUUAACUCUUGCCAUGUUAUUCCCUAAAUUAUUACUCAUUUCUUCUUUUGCCAGUGUUCCGCUUAUGCAUCAUGUAUUCAGUACCAAAAAACGAGGUAUGCUUCUUUACAUUAAACAGUCUUUCCUUCUCAGUAUAUAUGGAAGUAUAUGGGAUGGCUUCCAUAGAAUACUUGUUUCUGUACUAUAUACUAGAUGAUAAUUUCCUUGCAUGCGAACAUGCUAAUUAGUAGCUGCACUACAUUCCUGAAGCUUUUUUGAACUAUUGGGAAACAUGAGAGUUGUUACACAGAAGUAAAUGGUUCUUGUUUCCAUUUCAAACAAAACGAAGGCUAAAAGUUGCUACUUCUGUAGUACUGCUAUAGAACAAUUAGUGUUUAGCUAGACUGUCAAUCUUACAGUUUGUUACUAACCGCUGCCUCUGUAGGCUUAUGUCCAAUGCUGGUGGAAAAGCACCUGGGGCUGGGAAGAAAGCAAAGCUGUAGCUAUCACGCACCGUGCAUGCAUGCAAUUAGAAUUUACAAAAACAAUUAGAAAUUGUGAAUUCUAAUCAGAUUCAUUGUAUUACCGGAUCUUUUGCAUAUCAGACUCUCCUUUCUGACAUCCGGUGAAGUUGUGGUGCAGGAGAAGAAUGAAGAUUUUAUAGCUCUAGCUUCCCCCUUCAGAUAGUCAUGCUCUCCUCCUGGUUUAACAUCCAGUUGUAGUGUGAUAGCUUUGGCACACUUUAAUGUAAUUGUUCUGGUUUAAGAUCCAGCUAUAGUGUGAUAGCUUCGACACCCUUUCACACACACACACCCACACCCACACCCAAAUGAAAUGUAUAGAUCUCGCAUAUUUUAUCUGUCUACUUGUUUUAUGAGGAAACAACUCGACUAAUGGUUAAUGAUCAGGUGUUGGGAACAAAAGGUGGAAUGCUCAUUAAUUAUUAACUGUCUUUGCUGUUCUUACCA